ACAGCUGACGGUGCGUUUCGAAGGCGCUGCGCAGCUGGCCACUGCGCCAGGGCAGGGUGUGAUCGAGUUCCAUCCCGACGGCGGUUCCA
rnacentral:tRNA from 1 species